UAGUUAAGAGUGUGUGUGUGUGUGUGUGUGUAUAUAUAUAUACACACACACACACACACACACACUUAACUACA